UCAACUCUAAUAGUUUAUGAAAACA
rnacentral:tRNA from 1 species